GGGCCAUCGAGUCCAACCCCCUGCCAAGCAGGAAACACCAUCAGAGCACUCCUGACAUAUGGUUGUCAAGCCUCUGCUUAAAGACCUCCAAAGAAGGAGACUCCACCACACUCCUUGGCAGCAAAUUCCACUGUCGAACAGCUCUUACUGUCAGGAAGUUCUUCCUAAUGUUUAGGUGGAAUCUUCUUUCUUGUAGUUUGGAUCCAUUACUCCGUGUCCGCUUCUCUGGAGCAGCAGAAAACAACCUUUCUCCCUCCUCUAUGUGACAUCCUUUUAUAUAUUUGAACAUGGCUUUCAUAUCACCCCUUAACAUCCUCUUCUCCAGGCUAAACAUGCCCAGCUCCCUUCUCCGGGCGACUUCACCUAAAAGUGUUCAUCCGCACUGAGGCAUUGGGCCUGAAGGACCCUGUUCUUCUCUACCCUUUCCCCUCAGCACACGUCCUUGGGAUUAGGAAGUCUUAUCCUCACGCAACUCUUUAUCUCACAUAGCACAACUUACUCAAGUCAUGCUCAAAGACGCCUCACCAGAGUCUUCCGGUUGAACCUUAUAUGCAAAGGCAUAUAACAUAAUGAAGUUCUGGCCGUGUUUGGCACUGCUGUGUGUGUGUGUGUGGAUGAGAGGGGACCAUUUUGUGGAGAAAAACGGCUGGCGGGGAAAGAGUCAAGCAGGGCCAGCCCAAGACAUUUUGGCACCUGAGGCAAAACCACAAAAUGGCGCCUCCCUUCCCACUUGGAAAGAAAGAGUGAGUGAAUAUCCACUUCAAGAACAAGGGGUGGAAUAUAGAUCUACAUCAGGAUCUGCUGCCGCUAGGGAUUCUGCCACUUCAGACACUCGCUUCACCUUGUCUCAUGGGUGGGCUGGCCCUGGAGUUACCGUAUUUUUCCGUGUAUAAGACACCCCCAUGUAUAAGAUGACCACUAUUUUUUUAACCCAAAAUUAAGAAAUUAAGUUGCUUAACUUUUUUGGGGGGUGGGGGAAGUCACUUCUGCCAAUGGCUCACCCGCCCGCCCACCACUGCUGAUCGCUUGCCGCAGCCACUGCCAAUCACACACCUCACUGCAGCUGCCAAUUGUCUACCCUGUCGCUGCCACCAACAGCCCACCUGCCCACUUGCUGCAGCCGCCAAUCUCCUGCCCAAUUGCCGCAGCCACAGCCAAUCACCAGCAGGCCUUGCCGCAGCCACCAAUGACCCGCCCAAUCGCCGCUGCCAAUCUCCUGCUUGCUGCAGCCAUUAAUCUGCAUUCAUAAUAAUAAUAAUAAUAAUAAUAAUAAUAAUAAUAUAUUAAUUAUACCCCGCCCAUCUGGCUGGGUUUCUCCAGCCACUCUGGGCAGCUUCCAACAAAACACUAAAAUACAAUAACCUAUUAAACAUUAAAAGCUUCCCUAAACAGGGCUGCCUUCAGAUGUCUCCUAAAAAUUUGGUAGUUAUUUUUCUCUUUGACAUCUGAUGGGAGGGCGUUCCACAGGGCGGGUGCCACUACAGAGAAGGCCCUCUGCCUGGUUCCCUGUAACUUGGCUUCUCUCAGCGAGGGAACUGCCAGAAGGCCUUCGGCGCUGGACCUCAGUGUCUGGGCAGAACGAUGGGGGUGGAGACACUCCUUCAGGUAUACUGGACCGGGGCCUUUUAGGGCUUUAAAGGUCAGCACCAACACUUUGAAUUGUGCUCGGAAAUGUACUGGGAGCCAGUGUAGGUCUUUCAAGACCGGUGUUAUGUGGUCUCGGCGGCCGCUCCCAGUCACCAGUCUAGCUGCUGCAUUCUGGAUUAGUUGUAGUUUCUGGGUCACCUUUAAAGGUAGCCCCACGUAGAGUGCAUUGCAGUAGUCCAAGCGGGAGAUAACCAGAGCAUGCACCAUUCUGGCGAGACAGUCCGCGGGCAGGGAGGGUCUCAGCCUGCGUACCAGAUGGAGCUGGUAGACAGCCGCCCAGGACACAGAAUUGACCUGCGCCUCCAUGGACAGCUGUGAGUCCAGAAUGACUCCCAGACUGCGCACCUGGUCCUUCAGGGGCACAGUUACCCCAUUCAGGACCAGGGAGGCCUCCACACCUGCCUGCCUCCUGUCCCCCAAAAACAGUACUUCUGUCUUGUCAGGAUUCAGCCUCAAUCUGUUAGCCACCAUCCAUCCUCCAACCGCCUCCAGACACUCGCUAUCUGUGUAUAAGACAACACCCAAUUUUUGCCUAAUUUUUUUUAACGCAAAAAAGCAUAGUCUUAUAGACAGAAAAACACAGUAAGCAUUUUCUCGUUGCCACUUUUCUCCACCAUUUUUGCCACCAUUUUCUCCUCCAAGACCUGUUUUUCUUGAAUUCCCACUAGCAUUCACUUCCCCCCUACUGCACAGAGCCCUUAUCGGAAGCCCCGUGAUUUUAAAGCAGGCUAUACAUUUUGCUAAAUAAAUAAUACUAAUUGGUAGGGCCACUGUGAGAGGCUUCUCCUGCACGCUCCCCCCCCCCCACUCUGUCAAGAGACUACGUAGCAUCUUUAAGUACACAGAAUAUUGACAUAAUAAUGAAACGUACUACAUAGCUUAGUAAGUAGCAUUUAAUGAUAACAAAUUCAUUAAUAACCACGGAUGCCAAUAUACUAGGCAGGCAAAUCUACUAUAAUGGGAUGCAAAAGGAAUAUCUUGCAAUCCCUGCAAAUUAUGACUCAUCAUAGAUCUAUAAAUAUGAUUUGCAUUUAUUAAAAUUAAGAGCAGGAGUGAUCAAACAUUUGCAUAAUUCAAAUAAGAAGCUCUUGAAAUAAUUAAUGGCUCAUUUACUCACAUAGGUAACCUACCUGAAUUUAUUCCUUUCUUGCUGAGUUGGAUAGCUCAGUUGGUUCGAGCGUGCUGCUGAUAAUGCCAAGGUCGUAGGUUCAAUUCCCAUAUGGGAUGGCUGCAUAUUCCUGCAUUGCAAUGGGUUGGAUUAGAUGAUCCUCAGGCUUUCUUCCACACUACAGUUCUGUGAUUCUAUGAUGUUGGUAAGCUUAAUAACUAGAGAGUUCCAGAAAGACAUCUACUUCUGCUUCAUUGACUAUGCAAAAGCCUUUGACUGUGUCGACCACAGCAAACUAUGGCAAGUUCUUAAAGAAAUGGGAGUGCCUGAUCACCUCAUCUGUCUCCUGAGAAAUCUCUAUGUGGGAUAAGAAGCUACAGUUAGAACUGGAUAUGGAACAACUGAUUGGUACAAAAUUGGGAAAGGAGUACGACAAGGCUGUAUAUUGUCUCCCUGCUUAUGUAACUUAUAUGCAGAAUUCAUCAUGCGAAAGGCUGGGCAGGAUGAAUCCCAAGCCGGAAUUAAGAUUGCCGGAAGAAAUAUCAACAACCUCAGAUAUGCAGAUGACACAACCUUGAUGGCAGAAAGUGAGGAGGAACUAAAGAACCUUUUAAUGAGGGUGAAAGAGGAGAGCGCAAAAUAUGGUCUGAAGUUCAACAUCAAAAAAACGAAGAUCAUGGCCACUGGGCCCAUCACCUCCUGGCAAACAGAAGGGGAAUAAAUGGAGGAAGUGAGAGAUUUUACUCUCUUGGGCUCCAUGAUCACUGCAGAUGGUGACAGCAGUCACAAAAUUAAAAGACACCUUUUUCUUGGGAGAAAAGCAAUGACAAACCUAGACAGCAUUUUAAAAAGCAGAGACAUCACCUUGCCAACAAAGGUCCGUAUAAUUAAAGCUAUGGUUUUCCCAGUAGUGAUGUAUGGAAGUGAGAGCUGGCCUAUAAAGAAGGCUGAUCGCCGAAGAAUUGAUGCUUUUUAAUUAUGGUGCUGGAGGAGACUCUUGAGUGUCCCAUGGACUGCAAGGAGAUCAAACCUCUUCAUUCUGAAGGAAAUCAGCCCUGAGUGCUCACUGGAAGGACAGAUCCUGAAGCUGAGGCUCCAAUACUCUGGCCACCUCAUGAGAAGAGAAGACUCCCUGGAAAAGGCCCUGAUGCUGGGAAAGUUGGAGGGCACAAGGAGAAGGGGACGACAGAGGACGAGAUGGUUGGACAGUGUUCUUGAAGCUAACAGCAUGAGUUUGACCAAACUGCGGGAGGCAGUGGAAGACUGGCGUGCUCUGGUCCAUGGGGUCACAAAGAGUCGGACACAAAUAAACGGCUAAACAACAAAUUUAUUAGUGCCCAUGUGCAAAUGGAAUCGAAAUGAAGCUCCCUACCUUUAAAGCAAGCAAGCACACCAGAGGGAGCUGCCGAAGCUGCCAGGUGCUUCUCUCAGCCGCUCUGUGCAAAAUGGCGGCAACUCGACUGCUCCUCUCCGCUCUCCCUCAACCCUUGUGCCAGGAUUUUCUUUCUGGCUGCUCCCCAAGUCUCAUCCCUUCCAGUGUCUGCCCUUCUCCCCCUUCCUCGGGGCUCACUUGGUGGGAACGCUGCCUUCUCCCACUAUUUGAUGGGGUGGCCCAAGGGAGAGGGGCUGGCAGGACAUUUCACUGACUGAAGCGGAGGCCAAAUGGUGACCACCAACACAGUCGAGCUCCACCAUCCCGAUGGCGGUUCCCUCUUUCGUCUACUUCUCCCUCACGGUGUCCCCUGAGGCAAGUCUCUUCACCUUGCUGUAGUGCAAGACUGUCUCUGGAAGGAAGAAGAAGAAGAGUUUGGAUUUGAUAUCCCGCUUUAUCACUACCCGAAGGAGUCUCAAAGCGGCUAACAUUCUCCUUUCCCUUCCACCCCCACAACAAACACUCUGUGAGGUGAGUGAGGCUGAGAGACUUCAGAGAAAAGUGUGACUAGCCCAAGGUCACUCAGCAGCUGCACGUGGAGGAGCAGGGAAUCGAACCCAGUUCACCAGAUUACGAGUCCACUGCUCUUAACCACUACACCAUGCUGGCUGCAGCAGGAUUCUUCAAGGGCAAGGCUGGGGCUUCCAAACUGGGGCUGACGGUCUUUCUCCACCUCCCUCCCCUGCCCCCUCUCUGCCAUCGUUUGCUCAUUUUAUUUCUAAAGUUUUAUUAAUGCGCUUCAACAGCAUAAAUUACGUGCGGGAGAAAAUACAACCACAUACAUAAUAACCAGCCACUCGUUUUUGUAGUUCUUGGGCUUGGUACAAUAAUGUAUCACCUUUACGUUAAUUAAUCUUAUUUUCAAAUUAAUAACUGAAUCAUUUUUAUACUCCAUUUUUUAAAAGAAUACAACAACCCAAAGGCAAAACACCUCAUCCCCUGUGGGAAAAGGCACAUAAAAAUCAAAGCAGACAAUUAAUUAAAUUAAAGCGAUGGAUCACAGAAAAUGGCAUUUUACAGAAAUGAUCUCUGUAGUUUCAGGGCUGCUAAGGAGGUUAGAUACUGCCUAUCUUUCUCAUUUGUGCAUGAAAUCAUAGAAUCAUAGAGUUGGAAGAGACCACAAGGGCCAUCGAGUCCAACCCCCUGCCAAGCAGGAAACACCAUCAGAGCACUCCUGACAUAUGGUUGUCAAGCCUCUGCUUAAAGACCUCCAAAGAAGGAGACUCCACCACACUCCUUGGCAGCAAAUUCCACUCUCGAACAGCUCUUACUGUCAGGAAGUUCUUCCUAAUGUUUAGGUGGAAUCUUCUUUCUUGUAGUUUGGAUCCAUUGCUCUGUGUCCGCUUCUCUGGAGCAGCAGAAAACAACCUUUCUCCCUCCUCUAUGAGACAUCCUUUUAUAUAUUUGAACAUGGCUAUCAUAUCACCCCUUAACCUCCUCUUCUCCAGGCUAAACAUGCCCAGCUCCCUUAGCCGUUCCUCAUAAGGCAUCGUUUCCAGGCCUUUGACCAUUUUGGUUGCCCUCCUGUGCACACGUUCCAGUUUGUCAGUGUCCUUCUUGAACUGUGGUUCCCAGAACUGGACACAGUACUCCAGGUGAGGUCUGACCAGAGCAGAAUACAGUGGCACUAUUACUUCCCUUGAUCUAGACGCCAUACUCCUAUUGAUGCAGCCCAGAAUUGCAUUGGCUUUUUUAGCUGCCGCGUCACACUGUUGGCUCAUGUAAAGUUUGUGGUCAACCAAGACUCCUAGAUCCUUUUCACAUGUACUGCUCUCAAGCCAGGUGUCCCCCAUCUUGUAUUUGUGCCUCUCAUUUUUUUUGCCCAAGUGCAAUACUUUACAUUUCUCCCUGUUAAAGUUCAUCUUGUUUGUUUUGGGCCAGUUCUCUAAUCUGUCAAGGUCGUUUUGAAGUGUGAUCCUGUCCUCUGGGGUGUUAAUAAUAAAGGCAUGGAAAUCUCUUGCCCUUCCUCAGCCUCUCAUUAAUCAGAUCUCCUGUGUUAUUUUUUUCUCCAGCCAUUGCAGUUUUCCAAAUGCCCCUUUACCACAGUGCUAUGUUUAGCCAUUGGUUUGAAAGUCAGGAGAAAAUGGCCACAAGUGAGUUCUUUUAAAAACCCACAAAAAACAGCUCACGUGUUGCUGCAACUAUGACAUCCAAUGGAAGCUGUGUGGCAGGAUUCACUGGGCCAAAGAUUUUGGGUAUAAUAUACAGCUGAGUGAUUGGGUGAAAUUAUGGAAGGAAGGUUUAAAAUUUACUGCAUGCAAUGCCCUAAAAGAAAAUGUGAUGAAAAUGAUGUAUAGAUGGUAUAUUACACCUGUCAAGUUAGCGAAAAUGUAUAUAGUCAGUAAUAAAUGUUGGAAAUGUAAAGAAAAAGAGGGAACAUUUUAUCCCAUGUGGUGGGAAUGUAAAAAGGUGAAAUGCUUCUGGGAGCUGAUAUAUAAUGAAAAAAAUGUUGAAAUAUACAUUUAUAAAGAAACCAGAAGCAUUUUUAUUGGGCAUUGUGGGGAGUGACAUAAAUAGAAAGGAAUGUAAGCUCUUUUUAUAUGCAGUAACAGCAGCAAGAAUAUUAUUGGCCCAAAAAUGGAAGCAAGAAGAGUUACCGACGAUUGAAGAAUGGAGGAUGAAGUUAAUGGACUAUGCAGAAUUAGAUAAACUAACAGGAAGGAUUCGAAACUGGUGAGACCAGAAAUUCACGGAAGACUGGAGUAAAUUUACGGACUAUUUGAAAAGUAAUUGUGAAGAACAGACGACGUUUGUAGGGUUGCAAGAAGUUUUGUGAGGAGUAUUAUUAGAAGUAUUGUAAAAAUGGACAAGGGGGAGGAUGAUUUGUUAAGAGAUGUAAAGGCAAUAUAAAGUUAAGAAAUGCAUAAGAAGUGGUUAAAACGGUGGAUCAUCAGAGGUGCUGAUGGGAGUCUAAAAAGAUUGUACAGUGGUGCCCCGCAAGACGAAUGCCUCGCAAGACGAAAAACUCGCUAGACGAAAGGGUUUUGCGUUUUUUGAGCUGCUUCGCAAGACGAAUUUCCCUAUGGACUUGCUUCGCAAGAGAAAACGUCUUGCAAGUUUGUUUCCUUUUUCUUAACACCGUUAAUACAGUUGCGACUUGACUUCGAGGAGCAACUCAUAGAAUGCAGUGUGGUAGCCUUUUUUGAGGUUUUUUGAAGACUUUGGUGAUUUUUGAAGCUUUUCCAAAACUUCUUUUGCAGCCAUUUGGUAAGUUAAACUUUUAAAACUUUUUGGGGGUUUUUGGAUUUUGGGUUGGGGUGUUUGGAAUUCAAGGACUUGGUGUUGGGGAGGGGUUUGCAAGAAUCUGGAAGCUUGUGGGGGUUUUUCCUGCAUUUUUAUGAUUUUCUGUGACCAUUGGGCCACUCUGCUUUUUUUUAAAAAAAAUUCUGGAUUUGAAUUUCUGUGUGGUGGGUGGCUGGGGGAACAGUUGAGGAGGGGGUUCUUCAGCAAGAAGCAAAGAGUGGAAGAGGAACCUUCUUCGAGUUGUCCCCCAGAGUCUUAGAAAAUGUACUGUACACUUUGUUGAUUUUUACAUGUUUUUCUGUCAUGUUUAGAAACUUAAUUUAUUGUUCCUUCAAUUUUUGAAAUGCUCUUUACAGUAUGUGUGACUUUAAAGAGCACUUAAUAAAUGCUUGUUGUACCAAAUUUGGCUUUGUUUGGACUUUUUUUGACCAUAGGAACGCAUUAAUUGGAUUUCAAUGCAUUCCUAUGGGAUUUCGUGCUUCGCAAGACGAAAAAUUCGCUAGACGAAAAAACUCACGGAACGAAUUAAUUUCGUCUUGCGAGGCACCACUGUAUAAGCGAUAAGUUUUGUGGUACAUUUUAUAAUUUAUAUGUUAAAAUUAAUAAAAAAUAUUAUUUAAAAAAAGGAAGCUGUGUGGCAGGGUGAGGCGCUGGAUUUUGGCGUCGCACAGGGCCAAGGUCCACCAUUGCUGGCACCUGCAGGGUCUCCCUCCCCUCUGAAAUUAAGCUCAAAAGAAGUGUUAUGCUGUAGCUAGUAGACUAGAAUAUAUUGUGGUGUGUGCUUGGUUGAGGGGACGGUGCGAUGCCCACGACAGUUUCACCUUUUUGCAAAUGUGCCCACUGCCCCUCUCCAAAAAUGUGGGCGAAUCCAUCGUCUGGAUUCUCUGCCUUUACUGAGUAAACAAAAUCAAUUUCACAGAAAAGGGCUGGCGUGGCCAGGAGGAGAAAACAGCUGAGGUAAAAUGUGAGGAAUUUAUUUGCUCUUGUUGCUGACGCCGUUGGUACCCUGACGUUUGGUACCCUGAAUUCUCGUGCCGCCACAUCCCAGAUGGCUCUCAGUGGUCACACGUAGGCGGGAACCUGCAUUUUGCGAGCUACAAAAUACAGCUUGAGUGUUAGGGGAAAGUGUGCAAAAGAAACACAACCUGAAACGCAAGACGAAAUGUGUUCAGAGCAUAUAAUUCUGCCAAGGAGCUCUCUGUCAAAAUCCACUAAGGGACCUUUACAUGUUAUGCAACCAUGAAUCUGGAUUUGCAACCACACAUGAAAUUGACAAGGAGCCCUCUGAAGGGCACACUCUACUGAAUCCUCUGACUACUCCAUCACAGCAUUGACACAUCAUGCUUUUGGGUGUAUAUUUCAACAGCUAUGCAUUUUAGGGUGAACAAUUGCAGCCCGUGAAGUGGCCCUGAGGCCUGCAUGCUGAUGAGACGAAUGAUUUCUGGAAAGGCCGGAAAACUCACAGAUUCCACUAGCCAUCCGUUGGUGUUUUUCUGUAUAGAGUCCACUUGAUGGAGCUCCAGGUUAACAGACUACAGAUUCUCCAGUCCAGAUAAUCAGCUCCACAUCCUCCUGUUUUCUCCAGCUCUGGAUAAAGCACAAUGGCUGAAUUAUCGCCCAUUCUUCCCGCUCAAGGCUUCAUCACCAUUUCUAUCGAUUAUCACACACCACUGGAAUGGAAGGCGCACAUGCGUGUGCCCCUGUCAGUGAACCUGGUCCUCUAAUUUUUGUGCUGAUGACUAGCUAGCGUCAUCGGUGGAAUGGAGUGGAACAUUUCAACAGGUAUCCUGUUUUCCUUUAGCACGAAGGCAGCGCUCUUGUUGGGACUGGCCAGCUUUACAUGCCUUGCCUAAAUGGCUUCUUGGGGGUGCAAGAUUUAACGGUGAUUCAGCUGCUGCUUUGUAGGUCAGCCUGCCUGUUGCUUUUCAAUAUUUUACUUCCCACCAUCUGCUCCUGACCUUCCCUUCCUGGAUGUUAGGCACCAAGAAUCAUAGAAUCAUAGAAUCAUAGAGUUGGAAGAGACCACAAGGGCCAUCGAGUCCAACCCCCUGUCAAGCAGGAAACACCAUCAGAGCACUCCUGACAUAUGGUUGUCAAGCCUCUGCUUAAAGACCUCCAAAGAAGGAGACUCCACCACACUCCUUGGCAGCAAAUUCCACUGUCAAACAGCUCUUACUGUCAGGAAGUUCUUCCUAAUGUUUAGGUGGAAUCUUCUUUCUUGUAGUUUGGAUCCAGUGCUCCGUGUCCGCUUCUCUGGAGCCGCAGAAAACAACCUUUCUCCCUCCUCUAUGUGACAUCCUUUUAUAUAUUUGAACAUGGCUAUCAUAUCACCCCUUAACCUCCUCUUCUCCAG